UACGGAAGGCAGCAGUGGGGAAUAUUGGACAAUGGGCGGAAGCCUGAUCCAGCCAUGCCGCGUGUGUGAAGAAGGCCUUUUGGUUGUAAAGCACUUUAAGCGAGGAGGAGGCUCUCCUAGUUAAUACCUAGGAAGAGUGGACGUUACUCGCAGAAUAAGCACCGGCUAACUCUGUGCCAGCAGCCGCGGUAAUACAGAGGGUGCGAGCGUUAAUCGGAUUUACUGGGCGUAAAGCGUGCGUAGGCGGCUGAUUAAGUCGGAUGUGAAAUCCCUGAGCUUAACUUAGGAAUUGCAUUCGAUACUGGUCAGCUAGAGUAUGGGAGAGGAUGGUAGAAUUCCAGGUGUAGCGGUGAAAUGCGUAGAGAUCUGGAGGAAUACCGAUGGGCGAAGGGCAGCCAUCUGGCCUAAUACUGACGCUGAGGUACGAAAGCAUGGGGAAGCAAACAGGGAUUAGGAAUAAC
rnacentral:rRNA from 1 species